rnacentral:lncRNA from 1 species
GCCUAUAGGAUAAAAAUAUAUAUCAUGCAUUUGCACUUUAUGCAUAUAAACCCAUAAAAUCCAAAAAUAUUAAUUGAGUAUCCUGCUGCAAUACUGUUGUCUUAAAAAUACUUUGAACCACCACAACAUCCAAUCCUCUAAAAAAAUAAUCAUUAACAUUUUAUCCUAACACCGUUCUACGAGUUUUGGUGUUUUGUGAGAGCUUUCUACAGGAUGACUCCAAGAGCCAGCUUACCAUGGAAUCUUCAUCUUUAUCACUUGAAGUACACCUUUCUACAUAUAACUGACCCCUGUAUACACGAAGUAACUUCUUGGGUGAUGAGAUUGAAGUAUUACAAGCAACACUUGCUCUUAUAAGCAUGAGUUCCUCCAUGAGGACCACUCAGCUUCAACAAUCAACCAUCAGCAAACAUCUAGCUUGGGGAGAGCAUCUCCUAGUUAUCAACAUGGUUAGAAGCGUGGGAGAAAGAGAAUAAAGUUGAAGAGCUAGAGCCAGAAAAGAGAGUAGCAAAAGAGACAGAAACGAGAUGGAAGAAGACACGUGACGCACCAACAUGAAACAGGGAGUUGAGUGAGGUUACCUCAGACGAUGAACCCACUGAGUAAGUGUUCUCCUCUAUCUAAGUCUUGUCGGUAGACUUUAAAUUCCGUACCCUAGCCAUAAGGUCAGAAUGGUAGUUAUCUAGUUAAGUUAGUAUGCAUUAGUAAUUUUGCUUUAAUACACCUAGUAGCAUAUUUAUUUCUCUUAGCAUAUUAAUACAAAAUACAAACAAAUAUUUACUGCUUUAAUUACUGCAUCAUAAAUACCAAGCCCCAUGUGAAUAAACUUAUGGUAACUCCUUAGAAAUAUUUACUGUGGUGGCAUAAAAAAAUAUAGCAUUCAUAUUAAAAUUCCUACAUCAUAAAUAGAAAAUUUAAAAAAAAAGAGAAAAUUAAAAUCCUGUUUAAAUUAGACAACAUUAAAACUAGCUCAUAAAGAAGAUCAAUUAGUUUUUGGCUGACCACUAACCCAUUAUUAAAUUCGAGCCUCGAGUUUUGGUUUCUCUUUGUGGAGAGUAUUUAUGCACGAAUGACAUCAUAGCAAGGAGAGAGUCUAUCAGUGGCACCCACCAGGUCCGCUACUGGUUAGCUCACUCUAAAGGACAUCUACACCAAGUAUUGCAACCAUCCAGCUUGGGGGAAGAGCAUCACCUAGUUAUCAGGUAAUUAUACCUAAGCGAUUAUCGAGUCUAUAUAGUCAUAAAAAUACUAAAAAUAUGUGGGCACAUGAAGGUCCACAAGUCAUAGAGUCUUUAUGUGAGUUUAUAAUUAGUUAAGUGUCAGAGUCUGUUUAGAGUCAGUCUAAACUAGAGCUAAACAAAAAUUGUUGAACAUUAAAAUUUUUUCUUGGAGAUGAUGAAUAGUUGCUCUGUUAUAAUUCUUUACAAGUACCUGAUUCCAACGGUAGAUUCUCUCGAGUUUUGGACAUGACUGUUUUAAUUUAAAGGUUUACUCUGAAUCUACAACUUGUGGAGGCAUAAGUUUGAGCUAAGUCUAGGUAGUUGGUUGAUAUGAUCAUUGAAAGUCUGAGCUGCUAUUUAUCUUAUUCCUAGCAUUACUAAGUUCUGGAGAUUUAUUUUGAAAACCUGAAAUUUACAUAAUGAGCUCUUGUAUGGCAAGUUUGAAUUCCUACCAAAGCCAUAUAUUAUAUACAUUUAGAGUUAGGAAAACUUUUGACAUUUAUGCUGCUUGCUUUGCAUUGAGUUCAGUCAACCUUUGUAGUAUACCUUACGAGAGUCUUGUCAUGCUUUUAAAACCAAGAUCACGUACACACUUCAGUUCACAUAUGCAUUAUUCCCACACAAGGAGUAAUCGCAAUCAUUUCCAUUCUAUGUUCACCAAUCAAAAACCAACAUAAACCAUACCCAUAGGAUAAAGCCCAUCAUAAAUGCUCUAAGUUCUUAUUAUUACCUCUCUGAUUAUUUAUUAUAUUCAAAGGAAACAUGUGGCUAUGCAAAAAUAUAAAAGAAAAAAAGGGAGUAAAAGAUGGACAAGUAUCCUAGUAAUUAAAACAAUGGGUACUAGAUGCCUGCCUCCCUAAAUAAAAAAAAUAAUAUAAAUAAAUAAACAAUAUUAAUAAAGAUAGCCCAUGUUUUUCCCGCGAAAAGUUCCAAGAUCAAAAGAGAGAUUUAUCUUCAAGGAGCAAAAGUAGAAAUAGAAAUUAGCCACAAAUACCACAAAAGCACCUAUCCACCAUAUUCCUUACACAUACACAUCUUGGUUUGAUUGUAUGCCUCGAUUCUCUAUGGAUCCAUUAGUUGACUUUACAAUGCAUGCAUUGCAAGUAUGCCUAUCCUUGUUAUUGGCACUCCUAUAAGAUCUACCAUAUAUAUAUACCUUUAGCUAUAGGAGGCAUAACAUCAUUAAUGCCUCAAGAGAGAACCAUAAAUACCACAUACAUUGAGAAACUUGAGGGUGUCAUACAAUUAAGCUCUGAGUUUUAUUCUGAAAUCUUAUAAAAACUCUAGAAUAAUGGUUCUGCAAAGAAUUUGAGACAUAGUGCUUGGCCUGAUUAUUUUGUCUUUUGAUUGCUCAAGACUCAUGCAAAAGUAAAGCCCCAUGGUUAAGGGUAAAACGGGUAAGUUUGAAGAUUAGAGUAGUUAUUAACUAAUCCGGAGGAGAAUCUUUGUUUAGGAGCAUGUGUACUUGCAAAGAAUAAAAAUAUUGUAGCAACUCUUGAUCUAAAUACAUAUACUGCUUAGGCUUGGUUUGCCAAGGGACUGGCAAAAGGUAAGCUUGGGGGAUUGUUGACGGUCGAUAACGUCAACUUUUAUUAGAACUUUAAACCCAAAGGAGAACAUGAAAACACACUAGUCUAGGGUUUAAACUAACAAUUUCCACGAGUUUUGUAUAUUCUGUAUUUUCUCGGGUCUAUUUCCAGAAAAGCUGAAAAGACGGAUUCAGGUGCAUAUUUAACACAAAACUUAUCCGCCACGAAAAGUAUCACGAAUGGGACGGGGGAAGACUCUGGAAGACAUCGGAAGAAACUGGGGGCCAGAGGCCACCAGGUGGGGCCGGCUGGCCCCACCAUGGCGUAGGUCGGCGCCCCAACUCUAGGGUUUUGGCCCCCCUUCUGGAAGCUUCCUCCACCGCCUCCAAGGAGUCAUCUUGGCCCUUGGUUAAGUCGGUUUGAUCCUACAGCGCACGUCGAUCCCACCGGGCUAUAAAUAGAGGGGCAGACCCCCCUCCCUGGGGGUAUCAAGUCAUUUGGACAUCCAUUCAUCAAGAGCUUUCUGUAGUUCAUCAGAGCCUCUCUAGUUCAUAGUUUUAGCCUAGUUAGAUAGAAGUAGAAGAGUUCUAGUUCUUCAGUGGGAUCCGGAGCCCCUAGCGUUUGUUUGGAGCAUGGAGUUUGGUAUAGCUCUAGUACCUUUCUCUUAUUGUAUUCAAUAUUAUAAUUUAGCAAUAUUAUUCUUAAUCUCUUAUAUAUUCUUAAUUGCAAUAGUCAUUGUCUACUUUGAUUAUAUGUCUAGGAUAGUUGGUUUGAUCUUAUUGAAUCCAUGUAAUUGCUCGUAUAGCGUUUACCCAAUCUAUGGGUGGG